rnacentral:rRNA from 1 species
GAUGAACGCUAGCGGCAGGCUUAAUACAUGCAAGUCGAGGGGCAGCAUGUCCCGCAGCAAUGCGGGAUGAUGGCGACCGGCAAACGGGUGCGGAACACGUACAGAACCUUCCUUCGAGCGGGGAAUAGCCCAGAGAAAUUUGGAUUAAUACCCCAUAGUAAAUUGAAAAGGCAUCUUUUUAAUUUUAAAGAUUUAUCACUUGAAGAUGGCUGCGCGGCUGAUUAGGUAGUUGGCGGGGUAACGGCCCACCAAGCCUGCGAUCAGUAACUGGUGUGAGAGCACGACCAGUCACACGGGCACUGAGACACGGGCCCGACUCCUACGGGAGGCAGCAGUAAGGAAUAUUGGGCAAUGGACGCAAGUCUGACCCAGCCAUGCCGCGUGGAGGAUGAAGGUCCUCUGGAUUGUAAACUUCUUUUAUCUGGGACGAAAAAAGGCGAUUCUUCGUCACUUGACGGUACCAGAUGAAUAAGCACCGGCUAACUCCGUGCCAGCAGCCGCAGUAACAC